rnacentral:lncRNA from 1 species
GUGUGCCUGUUAAAAAAUAUUGCGAAAGUUUUACUGGACAGCGGACAGCUGUGGGUGGACCUCUAGGCUCUACAAAACGUCAAUGUGAAAAAAGAUAUUUAAAGCAUUUUUAAUAAGCCAAAGUAUUAAUCAACAGUAUUUUAAGUGAGCAGGUGAACAUAGACAUAGCAAACUUAACUUGAAAUUAAAUUGUAAUCGUAAUAUACGUAUGUAAUUGUAAAUAAGUGAAACAGACAAACUCAAAACAGUGAUUAAACAAAGCUUCAUACACUAUGUCAUAGGAACACACAUGAACAAAGUCAUGCAAGAACCAACAUUCUACAUUAAAAAAAAUGUUUAAAAUGCUUUUGAAAGUGUGUAAAUAGAACUGUUUGACAAAAAAGCACCAUCAGCUUAUAUGAAUCUCAGACAAACAUAAUCAUGUCAGCAUUGGCAUGCUGGCAAAAAUAUAUCAGAUUUACAGCUAUUCUUAUGAAAGUCAGUAUUGUAAUAAACAAUCACCUCCCUCCCUCCCUUUCUCACUCACUCACUCACUCACUCACUCACUCAACUCACUCACUCACUCACUCACUCACUCACUCACUCACUCACUCACUCACUCACUCACCCGGCCCCCACCCAACUCACUCACUCCCACCCACCCUGGGCACCCACCCACCCAACUCACUCUUUAAUGCACACAUGAAGAAACAAAGGAAUAAAGUAAGGGAUGAACAAACAAACAAAUGAUUUUAUUCCCCUUCCAUAGCUGAGGGUGGCAUUAAGUUUUACCCUUGUCCGUCUGUAUGUUGUUCAUUCAUGAGUAUGCCUGUCCUUCCUAAAGUUGUUUACUGUUCUCUAACUUGAGUUUGGCUCAGCCAAAUUUUAUGAAAGUUAAACACAAUGCUUAUUAUCACAAAAGACAGAUCUGACAGGAAUGAAUUUGGAUGGCAUCACUCCAACUGUUUUAGAGUUAUGCCCCUUUAAAAAUGGAAAAAAUGCUAAAUUUGUCGUUUCCAUAUACAUUGUAUUCUUUAACUUAAGUUUGCCUCUAUCAAAUGUAUGAAAUUUAUGCACAAAACUUAGAUAAAGAUUGAAUUUGGGUGGUAUUGCUUUUACCUUUCUGAAGUUAGGUUUUUUAUAAUGUUAUAUGCAAGCAGGGGCAUCAUUGGUGUUUGAUGGACACAUUCUCCAUUUAUUUCAGAUACUAUUUCAUAUUUAUUUUUUAAUAUAAUUCUAUACCCCACUCUUAAAGUUUGGGCAUAGAACAUUAUCCUUCCAUCUUUUCCUAUUGCUGCUCCUCCAUCUGUCCAUCUGUUCCUUCAACAAAUGUUAUGGUUACACUUUUCUCAGGUACAUGUACUUCCAAACAGACUUGAUAUUUGGUCAUUAGCUUUCUCAGUGAUGAUUUGUAAAAUUUGAGCACUUUUUGGAUCUGUCAGACCCCAUCUUCCUGUACAUGCUGUAUGCCUUUACUUAAUUUUUUUUGUAUUUAAUUUACUUAAAAUACUUCAUCACAACUUUCCCAAGUAUAUACAACUGAACAGAACAGGUUUAAAUUUGGUCUUCAGCUUGAUAGUCAUGUGAUAGUGAUGAGUUGUCACCUGUGGUCACUAUUUGGAUCUGCACAACCCCUACUUUCUAUUUACCCAAACUUUGCUAAAAUAUGAAAUUCAAGUCAUAUAUUCAGUUACAGGUACAUGUUAUGUUGUAUAAAAUUUAAGUCAUUUAUAAUAUUUAGGUCACCAUAUAAGUUCAAUAUAAAAAAGAAGAUGUGGUAUGAUUGCCAAUGAGACAACUCUCCACAAGAGACCAAAUGACACAGAAAUUAACAACUAAAGGUCACCAUACAGCCUUCAACGAUGAUCAAAUUUAAAGCCCUUACUGCAUAGUCAGCUAUAAAAGGCCUCAAAAUGACAAAUGUAUUACAAUUCAAACGAAAAAACUAACUCAAGUAAUUUUAUAACUUUGUCACCUUAUAGCUCAGUUAUGUGUGUACUAUGUAUGUUAGAAUACAAAUGUAAUUAUAAUAUUCAUGAUAUUCAACAUGUUCAAGUCAUUUAUAAUCUUGCAAGGGUCUUGAUAUCUUUCAUGUAGAGUAGACUGGUACUUUACCCAAAACUUGUACAUGUUGUAGGUGGUAUGAAUACUAGUAUACUUUUCAAUAUGUAUAUUCCAUGAAUAUCUUUAUGAAAAUUCCUAUAAAAAUUCAGGCAACUUAUCAGUAGCAUAGUACAUAGAAGGGUAAAAGUACCUUUGAUCAGUUUAACUAAAGUUGAUCGUAAAUCAAGAAUGAUUCUGUAUAAUUAAGUGCAUGUACUGAAUUCAUACUACUUAAUUUUAUAACACGAAGAAAAUAUUUUGAGGGAAGGAUAGACAUGCUUGUUUUUUAGACUCCUAAAACCUUUAGAUUGGAUAUUCAACAGUCUUCACGCCGAGUGGCAGCCCAGGCAGCCCAGGCUGGUUAAAUUGCUCUUGGGCCUGUAAAAAUCAGACCUACAGGCCAACAGAAUCUAACUAAAAAUUUUCAAAAAUUGAGCUGCGGGCCUGUAGAUUUAGCAGUUCAGCGUGAAGACUGAUUCAAAGUUUUAACUUUUAUACUCAUUUUCUUUCGCACAGGAAAAGUUUACACUUAUUGUAAUUGAUAUCAAGAAAAACAAAAUGGAGAAUAUUGUUAGAAAAACAGAAACAUUGAUGGAUGAAAAUAGAAAAUUUACGUCAAACAGCGAUACAUGUGUGUAUGGAGAUAACCGGCAGUCACAGUCAAACAUACUUAGUCAUGGCUCAACUGUUCAGGCAGAUAAUUCAAUAGCAAAUAACUGUAUGUGUGAUAUUGAUGAAGAAAAAGUGUCAGAAGUUGAUCAAAUUGAAAAAUCUGAACUAAGAAGAGAAAACGAAGGGGCAAAUGCUGAUUCAUAUUCUGACUUUGAAGUAUCAGGGUUAGUGUUCAAUUCUGUUGUUGCUGCUGCUGUUACAACACCUACCACCACAACCAAUGAUGCAGCCAGGAUACAUGUGCAGAGACCUCCAUCUAAGUCACAGACUUUUCCAAUUCAGAAUACAGAUUUUGGAACAGUUUUGUCAACUCUAACUUCCUUAACUUAUGAAAAAGCAACUAAAAUUGAACAGUCAGCACAAAAUAAAACUCAAUGUAACGUAAAUAUAUUAAAGAAGUCUAAGACUAGUGCAUCAGAUUUUACUCCAUAUUCUUUUGACAGGAAUCCAACUCCGUAUCCUUUGACCAGGACUCUAACUCCGUAUCCUUUUACCAGGACUCCAACUCCAGAAAAAAAAAGAAAAAGAGUAUUUACAGUACCGGUUCUACCUACAAUGGGGCCAUCUACCAAACUUCUAAAUUUAGCUCUAGGUGUACGCAAAAGGAAUUCAACUUUAAUUCAGACUUCAGUUCCAAGUAUCUGUAGUGUAUGUACAGUGUAUCCUCAUACAAUAUCCCAGAAUUCAGCUUCAAAAAUAUCUACAGCUAGUUUAUCUACUGAAACCCAGAGUUCAACUCAUUCUAAUGCUCAAAAUUCAACUCAAUCUGAUACCCAACACUCAACACAAUCUGGUGCUCAGAAUUUAACUCAAUUUGAUGCUCAAAACUCAACUCAAUAUCUUCUAUUACCAUCUAAAGAUCAGAAUACAGCUCAAAAUAUAUGUACAGUAAAAUCUCCUAGUAAAACAGAGAAGAUUGAAAGAAUAUCUACAGUCCAAUCUCAUGCUAGAAUGCAGAAAUUGAGUCCAAAAGCAAAACAUCAAAUUACUGCUAUCAAAACUAAGAAGUAUCGUAAAAUAUCUACAGUGAAAUCUCGUGCCAAAGUCCAGAAAUCAGAUCCAAUUAUAUGUACAGUGUAUCCUCCUACCAAAUACACAAGUUCAGCCUUCAGAGUCUCUAGAAAUUGUUAUUCUACAAAACCUACUAUGUCUUGGGACAAAGUAUCAAUUAGUACACCAG